rfam:Triticum aestivum genome assembly, contig: Triticum_aestivum_CS42_TGACv1_scaffold_514384_6BS
UGUAUACUCCCUCCCUCCGAAAAUAUUUGUCCUCAAAAUGAAUGAAAAAGAAUGUAUCUAAAACUAAUAUAUAUUUAGAUACAUCCCUUUUAUUCAUUUUGAUAACAAGUAUUUCCGGACGAAGGGAGUACUAG